CCUACGGGUGGCAGCAGUGGGGAAUAUUGCACAAUGGGCGCAAGCCUGAUGCAGCCAUGCCGCGUGUGUGAAGAAGGCCUUCGGGUUGUAAAGCACUUUCAGCGGGGAGGAAGGCGUUAAGGUUAAUAACCUUGGCGAUUGACGUUACCCGCAGAAGAAGCACCGGCUAACUCCGUGCCAGCAGCCGCGGUAAUACGGAGGGUGCAAGCGUUAAUCGGAAUUACUGGGCGCAAAGCGCACGCAGGCGGUCUGUCAAGUCGGAUGUGAAAUCCCCGGGCUCAACCUGGGAACUGCAUUCGAAACUGGCAGGCUAGAGUCUUGUAGAGGGGGGUAGAAUUCCAGGUGUAGCGGUGAAAUGCGUAGAGAUCUGGAGGAAUACCGGUGGCGAAGGCGGCCCCCUGGACAAAGACUGACGCUCAGGUGCGAAAGCGUGGGGAGCAAACAGGAUUAGAUACCCCGGUAGUC
rnacentral:rRNA from 1 species